rnacentral:rRNA from 1 species
CAGCGCCGCGGUAAUACGUAGGGGGCAAGCGUUAUCCGGAUUUACUGGGUGUAAAGGGAGCGCAGGCGGUGCGGCAAGUCUGAUGUGAAAGCCCGGGGCUCAACCCCGGGACUGCAUUGGAAACUGUCGUACUUGAGUAUCGGAGAGGUAAGUGGAAUUCCUAGUGUAGCGGUGAAAUGCGUAGAUAUUAGGAGGAACACCAGUGGCGAAGGCGGCUUACUGGACGAUAACUGACGCUGAGGUACGAAAGCGUGGGGAGCAAACAGGAUUAGAGACCCCGGUAGUCCCUGUCUCUUAUACA